rnacentral:rRNA from 1 species
UACGGGGGGGGCAAGCGUUGUUCGGAAUUACUGGGCGUAAAGGGCUCGUAGGUGGCCAACUAAGUCAGACGUGAAAUCCCUCGGCUUAACCGAGGAACUGCGUCCGAUACUGGUGGGCUUGAAUCCGGGAGAGGGAUGUGGAAUUCCAGGUGUAGCGGUGAAAUGCGUAGAUAUCUGGAGGAACACCGGUGGCGAAGGCGGCAUCCUGGACCGGUAUUGACGCUGAGGCGCGAAAGCUAGGGGAGCAAACGGG